AGAGUUUGAUCCUGGCUCAGACGUAAGGGGCCCGUGCCUAACACAUGCAAGUCGUACGAGAAACUUCACGAAUAUCGGUGGAUGAGUAAAGUGGCGCACGGGUGAGUAACGCGGGGAUAAUCUACCCUUUAGUCUGGAAUACCUUAUCGAAAGGUGAACUAAUACCGGAUAAUAUCCCGAUUUCUUCGGCGAUCGGGAUCAAAGAAGGCCUCUGCUUGCAAGCUUUCACUGAAGGAUGAGUCCGCGUACCAUUAGCUAGUUGGCAGGGUAAUGGCCUACCAAGGUUAUGAUGGUUAGCUGGUCUGAGAGGAUGAUCAGCCACACUGGAACUGAAACACGGUCCAGACUCCUACGGGAGGCAGCAGUGAGGAAUAUUGCGCAAUGGGGGCAACCCUGACGCAGCAACGCCGCGUGAGUGAGGAAGGUUUUCGGAUUGUAAAGCUCUGUCGAGCGGAAAGAAGUGCAUGGUGGUUAAUAUCCAUCAUGCUUGACGGUACCGCUAAAGGAAGCACCGGCUAACUCCGUGCUAGCAGCCGCGGUAAUACGGGGGGUGCAAGCGUUGUUCGGAAUCAUUGGGCGUAAAGCGCGUGUAGGCGGCUGGACAAGUCAGAUGUGAAAGCCUGGGCCUUACCCCAGGAAGUGCAUUUGAAACUGGUCAGCUAGAGUAAGGGAGAAGGAAGUGGAUUCCU
rnacentral:rRNA from 1 species